rnacentral:lncRNA from 1 species
AGUUGGGGCCUGAUGGGAGGUGUUUGAAUCAUGGGGAUGGAUUUCUCAUGGCUGCGUGCUGUCCAUGUCAUGGACCCUUGCUCCACAGAAUUCUUUGCCUGGAAUUUUCUUCCCAGAAUCUUUGCAUGUCAUUCCCUCUGUUGCUGAGUUACCGGGAUCUCAAUGUAAACGUUACGUACUGACAGAGGCUGCUGUGAACUGAAUUGCGUGCUUCCCAAAAUUCAUAUGUUGAUACUGUCACCCCCGGUACCUAAGGAUGUGACUACAUUUGGAGAUAGCAUCAUCAAAGAGGCAUGGAAUCCCAGGGAGCAUCCUGCACUCUCAGUGUCCAGCUGUCUGAGGCCACACUUGUUUCUGAUGAUAGAGAACAAUUGCUUUUUUCUGAGAGACUUAGCACUCCAUGGCUGAGGAGUUCUGCAAUAAAAUGCCUGCUUUCUCCACCAGAUGGUAUUCACAAAAAUAGCUCACAUUAUGUUUUGCUUGUUUGCAAGUCAACAAGAUGAGGUCACCGAAAAGGUCUAACUGAUUCUGUCUGCUCAGGAAUGUUUCAGGCUUGGUCUCCCUUUUAAUUUACCUCGUAAAUCAUUUUGUAAUUUUUAUCUCCUACCCAUUCUGUAACUUGUUAAUUACUUUUAUACACAUGUAAUAUCUUUUAUGUGUGAUUUCUAAGUAUAUUACUAGUGAACAUUGACUGUUACAAGGCAUACCUUGUCUUAUUGCAAUUUAUUGUGCUUCCCAAGUGUUGGAUUUCUUACAAAUUGAGGGGUUUUGGCAACCUUACCUUCAGUGACUCUGUCAACAAUAUUUUUUCCAACACCAUGUGAUCUGUGUGUGUGUGUGUAUCUUUGUCAGCAUUUUUAUCAAUAAAGUACAUUUUUUAUUAAGGU